ensembl:lncRNA
CUUGUUUUGGUUUUUCUCUUCCUUUGAUGGAGUGUGUCAGUUGUUUAAAGCUUACAAGCUGCUGAGAUAAAAAGCAAGUUAAGUAUGUGAUCCAGGUGUUGCCAAGAGUUGAGGCAGAAGUGUUAAAAAGCUUAGAACGCUGGAUGGGGAAAAAAAAGAAAAAAAAGAAAGUGUGCAUGACAAGAAGAAAAAAAGCCCAAUCCCAACCCAAGCCUUGAAGUAUUUGUGAAUCAGGUGUUUAACUAGUGGACAAAAAAACUGCGAGCGCAAACAGUGGAGAUAUUAAGAACAGCCGUCCUGCAUAUUGCUUUAUUGACAUGCACAGAAGUAGUGGUGUACAGCUUGCUGUUCCUUUUCAAUAAACAGGAGGAGACUGAGAGUUCAGUGCUUGUUGCCUGAACUGCACAACCAGGCAGAGUAACCCAUGCUCUGAUGUCCCUAGACUCUGAAACUUACCUUGCAGCUAUAUGAAAAUCUUUCUGACUUGUGUCAGAUCUUGUGCAGGAGCCUUCCAGAAAUGCUGGGCUCACAAUCAAAGCUCUGGUCUUCCCCCUAGCACCAUGAGGAUGUGAAAACAGACCAGAAUUUCCUCAUGAUGCUGUAUUCAUAUUAAAUCAUCACCUGUUUAACCUGGAACUGUAGAUAUGAAGAUGACCAACUUUCAAAACCACUUCUUCACAAACAAACCCAUGAGGUUUCUGUUUAGGAGAAGCAGUUCACCUUUCACUCCUAAUGUCAGGAGAGGAGAAGCCUGGUGGAAGGAAAAACUCCAAGAGAAAGUAGCCAUGAGUUCAUAAUACCCAGACCUGAAAUAUCUUUGGAAAAUGCAAGAGGAGUGUGUUUACCAACAAAGGCAAAAAGGAAAAGGCAGAGAGGCAGUGGAGAACUUGUUGUCACCAACCAGCUCUUCAUUUUUUGUGGAGAAAGCUUCAAGUGUGAAGGAGCACUAACCCAGAAGAAAGAGCAAUCAAAUGUGCUAAAAAGCACUGCUUUCCACUUGCAAAAAGUCCUGUUUAGUACAUGUUUAUGAAACUCGUCUCAGAUGUUCUAAAAAUAGCCUUGCAGGAGCAAGUCAGCUCCCUCCAGGAAGCCCUACACGUUCCUAGCAUAGAAGCGCAGCUUAAUCCUGAUUUUCACAAAAAGAACAAUUAUUUUUAGUGCUUUUAAAAACAGACUUUAGUUGCCCGGUGCUGAUUUGUCAAAACAAAACAUGAAAGAUGUGUCACUUCACAGGAAUGUGGCACAAGUUGAUGGGUUCCGAAUGUCCAGAACGUCUGACAGUAAUGUGGUGGUUCAGAUGUGUCAGGAGGUGUUAAGAUAAAGAUUUCAGGCAAGGCUUGUGGGGCAACAAUAAGAUGAAAAAAAGGGUCUAAGGAGCAUCCUGACGGCGAUGAAGAGAGAGACAGAGGAAAGGGACGUCCUAGGGAGCAGUGUUGAAAGAACAUAAGAACAAGUAAGAACACAACCAAAGCAUAAUGACUUCUUCUGGCUGCGGUGCCAGAUAUCCUCAACAAGAGAAAUGUUGCACAGCUAGUUGGACAGUUAUAAGGAAUAUGAUUUGGUAUGGUUAUGUCAUUACAGAAGUCCAGUUAAACUUGGUCCUAGUG